rnacentral:rRNA from 1 species
AAUCAACGCUGGCGGCGUGCCUAACACAUGCAAGUCGCACGAGAAAGUGGAGCAAUCCAUGAGUAAAGUGGCGCACGGGUGAGUAACACGUGAAUAAUCUACCUCCGAGUGGGGAAUAACUGAGAGAAAUCUUAGCUAAUACCGCAUAACACUUACGAGUCAAAGCAGCAAUGCGCUUGGAGAGGAGUUCGCGGCCGAUUAGUUAGUUGGCGGGGAAUGGCCCACCAAGACGAUGAUCGGUAUCCGGCCUGAGAGGGCGCACGGACACACUGGAACUGAACACGGUCCAGACUCCUACGGGAGGCAGCAGUGGGGAAUUUUGCGCAAUGGGGGAAACCCUGACGCAGCAACGCCGCGUGGAGGAUGAAAUCCCUUGGGAUGUAAACUCCUUUCGAUAGGGAAGAUAAUGACGGUACCUAUAGAAGAAGCCCCGGCUAACUUCGUGCCAGCAGCCGCU